rnacentral:rRNA from 1 species
UGUCAGCCGCCGCGGUAAUACGUAGGGUGCGAGCGUUAAUCGGAAUUACUGGGCGUAAAGCGUGCGCAGGCGGUUGUGCAAGACAGAUGUGAAAUCCCCGGGCUCAACCUGGGAACUGCAUUUGUGACUGCACGACUAGAGUACGGCAGAGGGGGGUAGAAUUCCACGUGUAGCAGUGAAAUGCGUAGAGAUGUGGAGGAAUACCGAUGGCGAAGGCAGCCCCCUGGGCCGAUACUGACGCUCAUGCACGAAAGCGUGGGGAGCAAACAGGAUUAGAUACCCUGGUAGUCCACGCCCUAAACGAUGUCAACUAGUUGUUGGUAGGGUUAAACCUAUUAGUAACGUAGCUAACGCGUGAAGUUGACCGCCUGGGGAGUACGGUCGCAAGAUUAAAACUCAAAUAAAUUGACGG